GGCCCUUUAGCUCAGUUGGUUAGAGCGUGCAACUCAUAAUCGCCCGGUCGCUGAUUCAAGUCCAGCAAGGACCAUCA
rnacentral:tRNA from 1 species